rnacentral:rRNA from 1 species
CCUGCUCAAUGAAAUUUUAAAUAGCCGCAGAAUAUUCUGUGCUAAGGUAGCAUAAUCAUUUGUUUUUUAAUUUAAAACUAGAAUGAAAGGUUAAACGUUUUAAUUAUUUUAUUAUUAAUAAUUAUUUAAUUUAUAUUAAAUAUAAAAAUAUAUUUAUUAUAUAAAUAGACGAUAAGACCCUAUUGAACUUUACUUUAAGUUUAGCUGGGGCAGCUUAUUAAAUAUAAUUUUAAUUAUUUUUAUAAAAAAAAAUUCCAAUAUAAUUGAUUAUUUAAUCAAGUUACCAUAGGGAUAACAGCGUAAUAUUAUUCUAAAGUUCAUAUUUAAAAUAAUGUUUACGACCUCGAUGUUGAAUUAUUAUUACUUUUUAACGCAGUAGUUAUUUAAGUAAGUCUGUUCGACUUUUAAUAUAAUACA